UUUUUAUAGAAGACGAGAAGACCCUAUAGAGUUUUAUAUUUAUUUUUAUCAAUGAGAUUUUAGAAUUUAUUAAUCGAUAAAAAUAAAUAUUUAGUCGGGGUGAUUGAAAAAUUAAAUAAACUUUUUUUUUAUCCUUACACUGAUUCGUGAUUAAUCGAUCCUUUUUUAAAGAUUAUAAGAUAAAAUUACCUUAGGGAUAACAGCGUAAUUUUUUUUUARAGUUCAAAUCAAAAAAAAARAUUGCGACCUCGAUKUUGGAUUAAAARAAAUUAUUGGUGUARAGGCUAAUAAAUUAGGUCUGUUCGACCUUUAAAAUUUUACAUGAUCUGAGUUUAAACCGGCGUAAGCCAGG
rnacentral:rRNA from 1 species